AAGGCCACUCCGGGCCUUUCCAGGCCCUCCAAACAGCCGAAAACCGGACAGUUCCCCUCUUCCUUUCUUCCCCACUUUGUGAACAAACCUUUACCAGCUGUAGUCUUCACCUUUAGUAUCUCCAUCACUGUUGGAAUUCUUUUUAUUCUGAUGUGUUUAUACAGAUAUAAUAAUUUUCUGUAAUUCCACAUUUAUAACAUUCCUAUUACAAUGUGCUCCCAUUAGUUCUUAGUUCCCACUAUUGAUGCUGUUUUAUUUAAUAUUGGGAGUUUUCUAAUUGUUUUCUGUUAUAACACAGCAAUUAUUUUAUUUCCUGAAAAGAAUCCUGUUUGCCAUAUGUAUUUGUGUAUAUAAUAUGUGUGAUUUCAGAUUAUCUGUUCUUAUAUUCUUGUCAACUGAUAUAUUGCUGUCUGAAUUCUCAAAUGUUAAUUUUAAGAGGUAUCUUUUAAAUAGUAUCUAAAAUCUUAGUUAAAAAAAUAAAAGGACUGUCUGUCCCUGUAAGAUUUGAAAAGCAACACCGAAGUAUUUUUGGAAUAACAGACUAUUGUACUCAGCUUCAUUCCUGUCUCUGCAUUGUCUGCCUGUUGCCUUUUACUUUCAAAGCUGCUGGUACAGGUAAACACUUCAAAGAUUGAGGAAGAGGAUUCACUUGAGCUCCCCUCAAAGCACUUUAGAGAGGAAGUACAACUGACUCAUCAAUGAAAUUGUCUAUACAGCAAAUGCUGGUGGGAGCCGUAACUCUUAGUAUAAGGACUCUGUUGUAGGCUGGAGGAAGAGGAAGACUGCAAUAAAGAGAAUAACUGGUGCUCUCCCCACUUUCCUGGUUGCACAGUGGGACUUUUCCCGCUGCUGCUGGUGCCCAGAUGGUCUCCUUGCGGGAGGAGCGGCCUCA